UACGUAGGGUGCGAGCGUUAAUCGGAAUUACUGGGCGUAAAGCGUGCGCAGGCGGUUUUGUAAGCCAGAUGUGAAAUCCCCGGGCUUAACCUGGGAAUGGCAUUUGGGACUGCAAGGCUUGAGUGCGGCAGAGGAGACUGGAAUUCCUGGUGUAGCAGUGAAAUGCGUAGAUAUCAGGAGGAAUACCGAUGGCGAAGGCAGGUCUCUGGGCUGACACUGACGCUCAUGCACGAAGGCCAGGGGAGCGAACGGG
rnacentral:rRNA from 1 species